GGUUAUUCAAUCACUAUUUGUCUGUCGGACUUUUCAAUUAGAUAAAGUAAUUAAAACACAUCAGAUGUCUUAUACAAAAUACAUAACUUGAGUAAAAAUCUUCUUGCUAGAUAUAACCCUCAUCAUUAGCUGUUCAUAGGAAGCUUAAAAAAUACAUGUAUAUUUUAAAUUGUAAAUUAAAGAGAUAGAAAAAAAUAUACAAAAUUAGUUAAAUUACACAAUCAAUUAUAACUAUGCACACUUAAAAUAACCUUCAACUAGAAUAAUAAGAUUCAUUUAAAAUAGGAUAUUAAAUAAGAAUCGUAAACUAUCACUUAAUUGAACAAGAAUGCAAAGGGUGCCAAAUGCUAUUAUUCUGAAGAAACCCAAAAUGGAGGGUUCUAUGAUGGGGUAACAUCUGGAGACCCUUGCAUGACUAAUCUACAAGAGUCGGUGACCAUUGGACAACCCAGAUCUAAUAGUCAUAGCUACACACAGGUAUUGUACCUAGAGCGAUUGAAACAAGUUUCUCUUCAAACUUUCUUUUUCAGGGGAAAUAUAAUUCAUUUGAUUUAUCUGUUUAUAUCUAACACAUCAUGACUAAGGAUAAAUCAAUAAGGUGAAAGACUAUCAAGAGAUAAGAAUAAAUGGGUAAGAUAUAAAGUGGUUCAAAUGGGCUGUAAAGGAUCAGGGAUUGUGAACAUGAAUUAACAGUGAACCUCCUUUUGUUCCACUUCCAGCUAGAUCAUGCAGGUUCUGGAGAAAAGGAGCCAUAGAUACAGUUGAGGGUCUGAGGUAUUCACCGCCACACAUCUGACAAGCGUGAUUGUAUAAGACAAUAUAAUCAUUUAGUGAUAACUAAGCCCUCAUUUUGUUUGAAAGGUCUUAUCAUAACCCCUUUUUGCAUUUUUCACAGGUUAAUGUAACUGGAUCCUCAAAAUCCCGGUUCAAGUUGCAAGACUAUCCAUCACAUUAAAUAAUUUUAAUGUAAUGGUUAACUGUUUUGAUACAGCCAGGUAAAAAGUCUAGAACGUGAUAAUAACCAGAGUUGUUCUUGUUUGAUCUACAGGUGGAUGUCAAAAAAGCUACCCAGAACAACCAGAGUAAGAGAGGCCGAGGUGGCUGGUAUGGAUACGGAGGUGGACGUGGAGGUGAGUCUCGUUUGCCUUGAAAUAUGUCUUAGAAGUUGUCACAUAAAAUAUGUUGGUAAGCCCACUUUACAGAAUAUCAUUAAAACCAGAUACUGAAUCUGGCAUUGCAGGAUGGCAAGGAUAUAACCAGGGAUAUGGUUACGGGGGAUAUGGCUAUGGAGGAUACGGCCAAGGAGGAUACGGAUAUGGAUAUGAUUAUUAUGGAGGUGGACCCAACUAUGGAAACUGGGGCGGAUAUGACCAGUACUACAACAACUAUGGAGGAUACGGUGGUGACGGUAGGACAUAUUUCAAUAUUACUAAAGACAGUGUUGCACAGGUGUAUUCAGUUUGAAUACAUUUUCCUCUUGAUUGUUGAUCUUUCUAUUAUUACUGUUUUGAAUUUGAAAACUAACUUGUGUUGUUUUUAAAGUGUGAAAUAAGAGCAAGAGAAAAUUUGUAUAAACAAUGUAAGCAAAAAUCUCUUGAAUUAAAGUUGAUGUUUGAAAAAUAUCAUUAAUAUGAUUGAUUGUAUUUUGUCAAUAAAUAUACAUGUAAAUCUACAGUUCUAUUGGUUUUGAUUGAAAUUUUGUGACAUUCCAUAUGAUAAUAAGAUAUUGUUGCAUGCUUUAAGAACAUCUGUCAAAAACACUACCCUCUAUUUUUCACUGAAAACUAAUAGUUAACUGAGUUUGCAUGUUUAUUUUUUGUUGUUUUUUUAAUUGUAGCCUCUUCCAGACUGUUGUAGCAUUGUGUAUGUGUGUUAAAUCACAAUUAAAAUAAAAGUACCGUAAUUGCACC
rnacentral:misc_RNA from 1 species